UUGUUAUACCUAUUAAUAUUAGAGGAGGUAUAAAUUAUUGAUUUACAUCUCUUAAAUAUUAUAAGAGGUAUAGAUUAUUUUACCAAUUCAGUUUCUUUUUCCCGGGAUACUUUUUUUUUUUGCGCAAAACUUCAUCUCCAUUGCCAAUCGGUUCAGUCGUGUUGAGGUGGUUGGGUAGAGCUCUUCUUCCCAUUUCAAGUUGUUUGCCUUUCUCAUUCACUAUAACUUUCGUACAUUUCUCAGAAUCAGAAGCAGCAUUUCUCACUGUCUUCGUACAUCAAAGAGUAUUUCAGCGUCGUCUUCCUCACUUUCAGUGGCUCGAGAGCUCAUCCUUCACCAUCAUAGAGCAUCUUCCUCACUUUCAGGGUUCCAUGGUUCCUUCACGGUUUUGCAUCGAUUAAACAAGUUCUCUUGAGGGGCGUGUGCUACCAGGGAACAACUCUUACAACUCAGAGAGGGAAAAAAAAGGUAAAUGCAAGGCAAUGCAAUAGAGGAAUCUGUCUGCAAAAUCCAACCUCUGCAGCAAAAAGUACAAUAGUUUAGACUUUAAGAUAGUGAGACCAGUAUGGAGCGGUCUACAGAUGCUUUCAAGGAAACUCAUAAUAUAACCCUGUCUACCGAAGAUACUUUAUUUGGGGGUCUGGUGUCAAACCUUCAGAAUAGGAGUAUUUAUCAUGUCUGGCAGCUAUUAUAAUCUUUGCAACCAAGAAAAGCCACAUUUACUGNAGAUACUUCGGUGGGGUAAGUAUUGAAACUUUAGUAACAAUUCCCAAGGAACCUUCACUUCCUACAUCAUCCGUAAUUUAAUUUACAAUCAAAUAUUUUACUUGUUUCGAGAUUCAACGUGUUGUUCACCCCAUACUUGGGUCUAUUGAGAGCUCGNAUGUACCCUUUGNUGUCCAUAAAGUCUCUCCUGUUUCUAUUUCAAAGGCCAUAAAAAAUGAAUCAGAGUUAGAAGGGAUGCAAAAUUGCCAUUUAAGGACGCUGCUGCCCUUGCUCAGUUCUGGGAUUGGUUAGAAACAGAAAUUACCAAAGAUAGAACAUUGACAGAAGUAAAGGUUUCGGAUAAACAGAAAUUAUCUGGAAGGUAUUCAUUGUUAAAGUGAAAGUGAUGUGCCAAUACAUGCAAUUGGAAGAAGGGCUACCACUGAGAUGGAGAAAUCAGUGUUAAGUUCAUAAAAUUACAUUGGCUAAUUGAUUUGUCAUAAAUAUUAACAGAUUUAUUUAUUAAAGAUAAAAGGUGAUAUAUUAGACUUUUUCUAA